AAACAAUAGAGUUUGAUCCUGGCUCAGAUUGAACGCUGGCGGAACGCUUUACACAUGCAAGUCGAACGGUAACGCGGAGAGAAGCUUGCUUCUCUCCGGCGACGAGUGGCGAACGGGUGAGUAAUACAUCGGAACGUGUCCGCUCGUGGGGGACAACCAGCCGAAAGGUUGGCUAAUACCGCAUGAGUUCUACGGAAGAAAGAGGGGGACCCGCAAGGGCCUCUCGCGAGCGGAGCGGCCGAUGACUGAUUAGCCGGUUGGUGAGGUAACGGCUCACCAAAGCAACGAUCAGUAGCUGGUCUGAGAGGACGACCAGCCACACUGGGACUGAGACACGGCCCAGACUCCUACGGGAGGCAGCAGUGGGGAAUUUUGGACAAUGGGCGCAAGCCUGAUCCAGCUAUUCCGCGUGUGGGAUGAAGGCCCUCGGGUUGUAAACCACUUUUGUAGAGAACGAAAAGACACCUUUUAAAAAAGGGUGUUGCUGACGGUACUCUAAGAAUAAGCACCGGCUAACUACGUGCCAGCAGCCGCGGUAAUACGUAGGGUGCGAGCGUUAAUCGGAAUUACUGGGCGUAAAGGGUGCGCAGGCGGUUGAGUAAGACAGAUGUGAAAUCCCCGAGCUUAACUCGGGAAUGGCAUAUGUGACUGCUCGACUAGAGUGUGUCAGAGGGAGGUGGAAUUCCACGUGUAGCAGUGAAAUGCGUAGAUAUGUGGAAGAACACCGAUGGCGAAGGCAGCCUCCUGGGACAUAACUGACGCUCAGGCACGAAAGCGUGGGGAGCAAACAGGAUUAGAUACCCUGGUAGUCCACGCCCUAAACGAUGUUAACUAGUUGUUGGGAAGUAA
rnacentral:ncRNA from 1 species